CAGUCGUACCUGCGGACAAUCAGCUUUUUGAGUGUGAUUAUGUGGAUUGUGAGGAGUUUAAUCACCCUCAUGUUUUGCAUAUUCGUGCUCUUGGGUGUACUUGCCCGUGUGGUAGGUUAACAUCAAUUUCGGACGUCAUAAAAUGAUUGGAGGAAUGUAGCUUUGAUCUCGUAUCGAAGUGUUAUGGCCUUUGGUAGAUGUGAUGUUUGAGACCGAGGAUUGCAACGGAUACCCUUUAGGGCUAUUCGUCUGAUCUCUGAUACGUUGCCUUGAUGUUGAAAGCUUGCUUAUGAUUGGUUAGGUAUUACGGUACUAAAAGGUUAGAAC
rnacentral:rRNA from 1 species